GACGAACGCUGGCGGCGUGCUUAACACAUGCAAGUCGAACGGAAAGGCCCUGCUUUUGUUCGGUGCUCGAGUGGCGAACGCGUGAGUAACACGUGAGUAACCUGCCCUUGUCUUUGGGAUAACUUCAGGAAACUGGGGCUAAUACCGGAUAGGAUCUCCUGCUGCAUGGUGGGGGUUGGAAAGUGUCGGCGGUUGGGGAUGGACUCGCGGCUUAUGAGCUUGUUGGUGGGGUAGUGGCUUACCAAGGCUUUGACGGGUAGCCGGCAUGAGAGCGUGAACGGCGACCAUGCGACUGAGAGACGGAGCAGACGCCUACGGGAGGCAGCAGUCGAGAAUAUUGCACAAUGGGCGGGCGUCUGAUGCAGAAGCGCCGGGUGCGGGAUGCCGUCCUUCGGGUUAUAAACAGCUUUCGCCUGAGACGAAGCGUGCGUGACGGUACUGGGUAAAGAAGCACCGGCUAACUACGUG
rnacentral:rRNA from 1 species